rnacentral:rRNA from 1 species
AGCAGCCGCGGUAAUUCCAGCUCCAAUAGCGUAUAUUAAAGUUGUUGCAGUUAAAAGCUCGUAGUUGAAUUUCGGGGUUAGCAGGUCGGUCGUGCCAUCGGUAUGAACUGGUCUCGCUGAUCCCUCCCUCUUGACGAACUGUGAUGCCAUUAAUUUGGUGUCGCAGGGAAUCAGGACUGUUACUUUGAAAAAUUGAGUGUUUAAAGCAGGCUCACGCUUGAAUACAUUAGCAUAGAAUAAUGAAAUAGGACGUUUGAUCCUAUUUUGUUGGCUUCUAGAAUUGACGUAAUGAUUAAUAGGGAUAGUUGGGGCAUUAGUAUUCAAUUGUCAGAGGUGAAAUUCUUGG